AAAAAGUUUAAUUUUGGCUUAAAAGUCAAGUUUUAUUUCUUUUUUACAUGUAACUUAAAGGAUUAUUUAAUCUUAAAAAUUUUAAAUAUAAUAAUGCAGUAAUUAAUAUUAAUAAAUUAAGGAAAAUUAGAAUUAGGAAUAAAUAAGAUUAAUAACUAAAUUUGUGCCAGCAGUUGCGGUUAUACAAAUAUUAAAAUUUAACUUUAUUAGUUUUAAUUGAUUAGAUAUUUAGUUAACUAAGGUUUUGACUUGAUAGGUGAAAUUUUAAGUUAAAAUUAAGUUUGUUUAUUUUAAAUGAAAUUAAGAAAUUUAGAAUUAAACUAGGAUUAGAUACCCUAUUAUUAUAAAUUUAAAUUUAUAGACUAAAUUAUUAAUAGUUAAGAUCUUUAAAAUUAAAAAAUUUGGCGGUGUUUUAGUCUUUUCAGAGGAACUUGUUCUGUAAUCGAUAAUCCACGAUUAAUUACACUUUAGUUAAAAAUUUAUAUAUCGUCGUAGUUUGAAUAUUUUUAUAGAAAUUUAAUGUUCAGAAUUUUAGACAUGAAAAUAAAUCAGAUCAAGGUGUAGUUUAUAUUAAAGGAGAAAUGAGUUACAAUAAAUUUAAUUAAACGAAAUAGUUUAUGAAAUUAAAUUAUGAAGGUGGAUUUGAUAGUAAUUUUAAUAAUUUUAUUAAAAUGAUUUAGCUCUAAAAUAUGUACAUAUCGCCCGUCGCUUUCAUUUUUAAAAUGAAAUAAGUCGUAACAAAGUAGGCGUACUGGAAAGUGUGCCUAGAAAGAU
rnacentral:ncRNA from 1 species